UUUCUGCCACCGAAUACAUUAGCAUGGGAUAAUGGAAUAGGACCCUGUCCUCCUAUUUUCAGUUGGUUUUGGCAGCGCGGGGACUAGGGUAAUGAUUAAUAGGGAUAGUUGGGGGCAUUAAUAUUUAAUUGUCAGAGGUGAGAUUCUUGGAUUUAUGAAAGAUUAACUUCUGCGAAAGCACCGGCGAAGGAUGUUUUCAUUAAUCAAGAACGAAAGUUAGGGGACCGAAGACGAUCCGAUACCGCCGUACUCUUAACCAUAAACGAUGCCGACCAGCGGUUAGGAGACGUUGAAUACAAAACACCACCGUCGGAGCGUUCGGCCUUGGCUUCUCGG
rnacentral:rRNA from 1 species